rnacentral:rRNA from 1 species
CGUGGGUAACCUGCCCUAUACACAUGGAUAACAUACUAGAAAAGUUUACUAAUACAUGAUAAUAUAUAUUUGUGGCAUCGCAGAUAUAUCAAAGUGUUAGCGGUAUAGGAUGGACCCGCGUCUGAUUAGCUAGUUGGUGAGAUAACUGCCCACCAAGGCGACGAUCAGUAGCCGACCUGAGAGGGUGAUCGGCCACAUUGGAACUGAGACACGGUCCAAACUCCUACGGGAGGCAGCAGGC